rnacentral:misc_RNA from 1 species
GAACUGCGAUACGUAAUGCGAAUUGCAAGACUCAGUGAGACAUCUAAUCUUUGAACGCACAUUGCGCUGCCGGGUCACGCCUGGCAGCACGCCUCUCUCAGUAUCGGUUCACACACUCGCCCGCGCACUCCUGCAGUGCGCCGGAUGGACACUGAGCGUCUCGCACUGCGAGUCGCUUCAAAUGCAUGGAGUCGAAGUGCGGCCCUGUGGUCGCGCAGCUCUUCUGCUGCGCGGCCCGCUCUGCGUGCCUGCUCGCCUCUCGGACGUGACUAGUGACUUCGGUCUCCUUACCGCCCGCGACGCGACAGGCUGCCAGAGUGGCGCAGCGCCCUACCUCGACGUGACGCACCCCACCGCUGGUGAGCCCCGGCUCCCUAGCUCAUUGAUCUGAGAUGAAGCG